UGGUUCCGUGGUGUAGGGGUUAACAUGCCUGCCUGUCACGCAGGAGAUCGCGGGUUCAAAUCCCGUCGGGACCG
rnacentral:tRNA from 1 species